AGGGCCUAUGUUGAGACACCUGAAUAUCACGUUUGCUGUCAAAUGACAUCUGGCCCCGGCACAGGGAAGCCUUUCUAAGGUCCUCAGUGGAUGACUCAACUCCAGGAAUCUCAAAAGGUCCUGGUGGCCACGGGAGGGACAAACUGAGACGGCUAUGACAGAGUCAUGCUGAUAAUGGCUUUGACUGAAGGGUCAACACCAAGCAUCCAACAAGCUGUCUAGACCUUCAAAGGAAAGGAGGCGAGAAGGGAAAGCCUCUUUCUUUGCUGGUGAUGCGCUAUCACACACGCCAGCUGUACGUGCUUGCUACCGAGGAAAACGGAGCUGCUCCGUUCCUGGAAUCCUGGCCCUCUCAAGUCCCAGGCGUUCCACGAGAGAAGCCUCCUUCUGGGAACUGCCCUGAGCACCCUCGUGAACGCUGAUUUUGUCUGGGAUGGCAAUGUGCCCAGCUGAAGGAAUACAUUUCCAGCCUUCCUUGCAACUUUGGACAGAAAAUAAGCUGUAAUUGGAAGUCAUCAUAUGGGGGCUCCAAAAUUUCUCUAAAAAGAAUUCUUUAUCUCCAAGGUGUUCCCUUCUGCUCUACUCCCAGUUCCUCUUUUUUCCAGUCUAGCACUCAGAUACAGUGUCUGGAACUCCAGCAGCCAUCUUGGACUGUGAGGAUACAAGCCCUGUACACCAAGGAUGGUGGACGAGAAAGGUAAAAGGAGCCUGGGUCCAAAAAGUCACCAUACCAGCUCUGGACAACCCACCUCCGGAUGUCUUUCAG